ACCAAUCAGCAAUGUUUCACACACAUGCAUGCAUGCAUGCAUGUACAAUUAAUGAUCACAUUGUAAAUACAAAUCAACACGUACAAGCCACACACGCUCACAAAGUUUCAACCUUUUAUUGCUCACUCAAAACUUACAUCGGCUAAUUAAAGGCUUGCAAGACUCGAACAAUGUCUGCAAUACAACAAUACCUAUACAUAUAAAUAUAUGGAGUACAAAAUAGCCUGGGGUUGAGGAAUUUCAGCCAAUGUCCAACCGACAUUUGAAUGCUCAGCAAAUAAGUAUGUUUGAAUGUGCGCACAAGCCAAAUUCGUUUUUAGACAAUGUCCAACAAUGAUGAUAUGUUGUCUGCCCCGCAACUGUUAUCAGCAAGUGUUGUCUAACCCAUUCGGCCCAACAUCUAGGCAACCGACGAAGUCAGCCUGCCCAUGGCCUGAGUGGACUUCACCACACCACCCCCUAUAUACUAACACUAAAGAAAAUGUUUUAAGUGUCACUACGUACUACACAUCAGGUAUGCUUGAAGAAUAUCCCUAGGUAUUACCCCCAAGUGUUUGAUAAAAUACCAUGCCACGAGUCAAGUGUCACAUAGCAUGCCAAAAUUAAUGUCAAUUAGUAAGGAACUAAAAUUCAAUUUGUAAAAUGUAUUUUGAUUUUUGAAUAAAUUAUGUUAAUACUAUUAUUUUCAACUUAUAUUUUAAAAUUAUAAACUCCAAGUUACAACAAAUAUGGCCUAAUAUUCAGUCACGACUCUCGCGCAGUUACGAGUAAAAGUGGAUAGGUCCGUAUAGCCAAAUAUCUGUAACAGUUCAUAUAUAUAUAUAUAUAUAUAAGGUCCCUUAAACCUAGCUAGCCUAGACCUGGGACUGUCGCCCUAAUAUGUAUAUAUAUAUAUAGAGAGAGACAGAGAGAGAGAGAGAGAGAGAGGGGGGGAAGGAGAGUACACACGUGGAUUUCAAUAUGACGGAUCGGAAGUAGUACUCAGGACUAACUUCAGUUUCAGGUGCCUCCUUCAAUUCUCACCUCUCUAUCUCUCCUGCAUGAUUAUUAGAUGAUGGCCUGCAGGUUCAUCUGGGUUUUUGUUUUUGGGAAUGGGAUUAAUUUGGAAUUAUGCAUUACAUAUGUCUCUCUAUAUCUGUCUCUCUAUAUAUCUAUAUAUAUAUAAUGAAUUCGGUUACUAUAAAAUAAAUAUUAUUAUAAA
rnacentral:lncRNA from 1 species